rnacentral:rRNA from 1 species
GACGAACGCUGGCGGCGUGCCUAAUACAUGCAAGUCGAACGCACUCUCGUUUAGAUUGACGGAGUUUGCUCCUGAUUGAUAAACAUUUGAGUGAGUGGCGGACGGGUGAGUAACACGUGGGUAACCUGCCCUAAAGUGGGGGAUAACAUUUGGAAACAGAUGCUAAUACCGCAUAAAACCUAACACCGCAUGGUGUAGGGUUGAAAGAUGGUUUCGGCUAUCACUUUAGGAUGGACCCGCGGUGCAUUAGUUAGUUGGUGAGGUAAAGGCUCACCAAGACCGUGAUGCAUAGCCGACCUGAGAGGGUAAUCGGCCACACUGGGACUGAGACACGGCCCAGACUCCUACGGGAGGCAGCAGUAGGGAAUCUUCCACAAUGGACGAAAGUCUGAUGGAGCAACGCCGCGUGAGUGAAGAAGGUUUUCGGAUCGUAAAACUCUGUUGUUUGAGAAGAAUGUAUCUGAUAGUAACUGAUCAGGUAGUGACGGUAUCCAACCAGAAAGCCACGGCUAACUACGUG